rnacentral:rRNA from 1 species
UGUAAGCGUAUACCAAAGUUGUUGCAGUUAAAACGCUCGUAGUCGGAAUUUGGCAGUUCCGGAAGUGUGCACGUCGUGUGCGCACUUUGCGGGGACUGCUUUUGUGGUUUUGCGUAGGAUGAGGCACUUUCAUUAGUGAACGUCCUCACGCGACCACUCUUUACUGUGAGAAAAUCAGAGUGCUCAAAGCAGGCAUUUGCCGUGAAUGUAUUAGCAUGGAAUAAUAGAAUAGGACUCGGUUCUAUUUUGUUGGUUUGUUGGGACUGAGUAAUGAUUAAGAGGGACAGUUGGGGGCAUUUGUAUUCCGGCGCUAGAGGUGAAAUUCUUAGAUUGCCGGAAGACAAACUGCUGCGAAAGCGUCUGCCAAGGAUGUUUUCAUUGA